rnacentral:rRNA from 1 species
CGAGCGAGUCUGCCUUGGAGAUCGGAGUGCUUGCACUCUGUGAAACAAGAUACAGGCUAGCGGCGGACGGGUGAGUAACACGUGGGUAACCUGCCCAAGAGAUCGGGAUAACACCUGGAAACAGAUGCUAAUACCGGAUAACAACAGAUGAUGCCUAUCAACUGUUUAAAAGAUGGUUCUGCUAUCACUCUUGGAUGGACCUGCGGUGCAUUAGCUAGUUGGUAGGGUAACGGCCUACCAAGGCGAUGAUGCAUAGCCGAGUUGAGAGACUGAUCGGCCACAUUGGGACUGAGACACGGCCCAAACUCCUACGGGAGGCAGCAGUAGGGAAUCUUCCACGAUGGACGCAAGUCUGAUGGAGCAACGCCGCGUGAGUGAAGAAGGGUUUCGGCUCGUAAAGCUCUGUUGUUGGUGAAGAAGGACAGGGGUAGUAACUGACCUUUGUUUGACGGUAAUCAAUUAGAAAGUCACGGCUAACUACGUGCCAGCAGCCGCGGUAAUACGUAGGUGGCAAGCGUUGUCCGGAUUUAUUGGGCGUAAAGCGAGUGCAGGCGGCUCGAUAAGUCUGAUGUGAAAGCCUUCGGCUCAACCGGAGAAUUGCAUCAGAAACUGUCGAGCUUGAGUACAGAAGAGGAGAGUGGAACUCCAUGUGUAGCGGUGAAAUGCGUAGAUAUAUGGAAGAACACCGGUGGCGAAGGCGGCUCUCUGGUCUGUUACUGACGCUGAGGCUCGAAAGCAUGGGUAGCGAACAGGAUUAGAUACCCUGGUAGUCCAUGCCGUAAACGAUGAGUGCUAAGUGUUGGGAGGUUUCCGCCUCUCAGUGCUGCAGCUAACGCA